rnacentral:rRNA from 1 species
UACGUAGGGUGCGAGCGUUAAUCGGAAUUACUGGGCGUAAAGCGUGCGCAGGCGGCGCGUUAAGACAGGUGUGAAAGCCCCGAGCUUAACUUGGGAAUUGCGCUUGUGACUGGCGUGCUGGAGUGUGGCAGAGGGAGGUGGAAUUCCACGUGUAGCAGUGAAAUGCGUAGAGAUGCGGAGGAACACCGAUGGCGAAGGCAGCCCCCCUGGGCUAACACUGACGCUCAGGCACGAAAGCUAGGGGAGCAAACAGG